rnacentral:rRNA from 1 species
UGGGGAAUAUUGCACAAUGGGCGAAAGCCUGAUGCAGCAACGCCGCGUGAACGAUGAAGGUCUUCGGAUCGUAAAGUUCUGUUGCAGGGGAAGAUAAUGACGGUACCCUGUGAGGAAGCCCCGGCUAACUACGUGCCAGCAGCCGCGGUAAUACGUAGGGGGCUAGCGUUAUCCGGAUUUACUGGGCGUAAAGGGUGCGUAGGUGGUCCUUCAAGUCGGUGGUUAAAGGCUACGGCUCAACCGUAGUAAGCCGCCGAAACUGGAGGACUUGAGUGCAGGAGAGGAAAGUGGAAUUCCCAGUGUAGCGGUGAAAUGCGUAGAUAUUGGGAGGAACACCAGUAGCGAAGGCGGCUUUCUGGACUGCAACUGACACUGAGGCACGAAAGCGUGGGUAGCAAACAGGAUUAGAUACCCUGGUAGUCCACGCUGUAAACGAUGAGUACUAGGUGUCGGGGGUUACCCCCCUCGGUGCCGCAGCUAACGCAUUAAGUACUCCGCCUGGGGAGUACGCACGCAAGUGU